GAGGCGUCCGGACUGGCCCAGAGAGGUGGGCAACUACCCCUCAGGGCCGGAAAGCUCUCCAAACUCGGUCAUUUAGAGGAAGUAAAAGUCGUAACAAGGUCUCCGUUGGUGAACCAGCGGAGGGAUCAUUA
rnacentral:rRNA from 3 species